AUGUCUAUUUGACUAAAUAAAAUCAAGUUAUUCAAUGGGAGUUACUACCUAUGAAAAAAGUACAACAGGAAUGUAAAAAAUGUGAGGAGGAUAAAAAUAUGUUGGAAGAAGAAAUAUUAAAUCUUAAGAAGCAUAUGGAAAGAACGCACAGACAAAUUGGUGAUGUACAAAAUUAUAAAUUGGAUCUAGAAGAAAAGGCAAUGCAGGCAAUAGAAAAAUUAGUAUAAAUCCCUUUACAGGUUUGUAAAAUCAGAGUAAUUAUUCUCACUGUGGAGUCAUUUGAUUAAUAAGACCCAUUGGCGUAAGAUUACUUCCUCUGACUAUAAAAAUCCUGGAAGAAAAACUAGGAAAUAUUCUUCUGGACAUUGCACUUGGCAAUGAAUUUGUGGCAUGAGAAACUAUCAAGGGAUUGAACAGACAGCCUACAGAAUGAAGUAAAAUAUCCACACAUUAUGCACCUAUAAUCCCAGCUACUCAGGAGGCUGAGUCAGGAGAAUCAUUGGA